rnacentral:rRNA from 1 species
AUGUCCAACUGCAUGGACGUCUCGGCCACGCCGUCCCCGGAGCCGCCCCCGCCGACAGCGGCGCUGGACUACGACGUCGUGGUGAUCCUGGCGGCGAUGUUGUGUGCUCUGGUGUGCGCGCUGGGGCUCAACUCCGUGCUCCAGCAGUGCGUGGCGCGGUGCACCCGCCGCGCCGUGGCCGACCCCGUCGGAUGGGUGGCGCACCGCCGCGCCAACGGCGGGCUCAAGCGCGAGGCCCUCGUCGCACUGCCCGUCGCCACCUACGCCGGCGAGAAGCAGCACGCGUCGGCCGGUGCCGGGUGCGCCAUCUGCCUGUCGGACUUCAAGGACGGGGAGACCAUCCGCGUGCUCCCAGUGUGCGGCCACCGGUUCCACGUGCCCUGCGUCGACAGGUGGCUCACCUCGCGCUGCUCGUGCCCGACGUGCCGGCGCCGCCUCUCGGCCGACCGCGCCGGCGCCGGAGAAGGGCACCGCCGAGACCUGCAAGUUCUGAACGCCGUGUGA